AAGCGUCUUAUUGUCAUAAUAUCUGCUCCUGGAACAUUGAUGAAGGUCCAAGCAAGACGGUCAGAUGGUGGAAUCAAAGAGGGCUAGCAGUCUGCAACCUUUAGAAGGGCAAUUGUUGGCAAGUGGAUAGAAGCAGAAAUGGUAGUGAGAGUGGAAGAAACGUGUGCUGUCCAUCCAGGAGAAGUCUGUCUUCUGCAGUGACUCUUUUUACAGUCACUCGGACAGCAUCCAAGAAGAACUCAAGCACAUCUCAAGAGCCCUCAAGCACAACGGUUACCAAGAUCACUGACUGUCGGGUCUCCUAUACCCAAAGUCAACCACCUUCGUACAAGGCAACAGUGACCCUACCCUACAUAGGAAAUGCAUCCCACAAGAUCCACCGCAUCCUUCACCAAGAAACUUCAAGCCACCCCGCAGACCCACAAGAACAAGCAAGACCAUCAGACGAAAGCUGGUGGGAAGGUUUAUUUUGGCAAGACUGGGCGGGAUUUGCCCACCAGACUCAUAGAACACAUCUCCCAUGGACGCAGAGUUGACUACGAUAAAUCAGCGAUUGUCAAGGAUCACGUCAUCAACUGGCAAGCAGCUCAACUCAUCGCUCCGGUCAAAAGAUGGUACCCAAGACGCGUCGGGGAAGCAGUCGAGACCUACAACCACGACACAGUACCCCAAGACGUCGGCUCCUACAUCAGCAGCAUUUAACACUCCAUAUUACCCUCCCAGACCAAUGGGUCAUCUAUACCCACAGUCACUCAUGCAUCAGUGAGCGCACUCAAUAGCCUCUCAGUCCAGCAGAUCCACCAUCAAGCAAGCCAAUUCUGUUCCAGUGCACCCUUAGCAUCCUCUCCAGCGCUUAAAAAACAGCAUCCUCAGAGCCAGGCAACCUGUCACCCUCCUAAAGACGAACAGAGCACACUGUCCAGAACGUCGAGUAUUCACCAUCGGUUCUUCUCAGAACCACACACUCUUAAAAAAGAUAUUUUCUUGUUCAUGGUGCAACUUCAAGCCUAACCU